rnacentral:rRNA from 1 species
AGUGAACGCUGGCGGUAGGCCUAACACAUGCCAGUCGAACGGCAGCACAGUAAGGGCUUGCUCUUACGGGUGGCGAGUGGCGGACGGGUGAGGAAUACAUCGGAAUCUACUUUUUCGUGGGGGAUAACGUAGGGAAACUUACGCUAAUACCGCAUACGACCUACGGGUGAAAGCAGGGGAUCUUCGGACCUUGCGCGAUUGAAUGAGCCGAUGUCGGAUUAGCUAGUUGGCGGGGUAAAGGCCCACCAAGGCGACGAUCCGUAGCUGGUCUGAGAGGAUGAGAGGCAACACUGGAACUGAGACACGGUCCAGACUCCUACGGGAGGCAGCAGUAGGGAAUGUUGGGCAAUGGGCGAAAGCCUGAACGAGCCAUGCCGCGUGAGUGAAGAAGGUCUUCGGAUUGUAAAGCCCUGUUAUUGGGAAAGAACAACAGCGGGUGAAACCCUGGCUGUCUUGACGGUACCUAAUGAGAAAGCACCGGCUAACUACGUG